AAAGUUCUGUGGGGAACGACGGCUAUAGGCAUGGGUCGAGCAGGGAAGAGCGGGAAUCGAGUGAGGACCUCACUGCGGUGUCGUAGGCGAGAUCGAGAAGGCCGGGGGUGGAGCGACGGCGACGAAUUCGUCGAUGGCGUCGCGGUGGUUGGAGGUUGAAGACGACAUCGAUCCCUGCGAUCCAGGGGCUCCCGGCUCCAACUGGUGGACGUAGUCGAAGGAGUGGACGUCGGCGAAGCUCGCGGACGAGGUGGCUGGGCGUGGGGAGCUCGGUGGGCGCGUGGAUGUCGGAGGCCAUGGCGAUGCAGGUUCGGCCAAGGGUUGCGGGGACGAAAGCGGCACAGGGGAGGGGAAAAGGAGAGCUAGGGUUCGUCAACACGUCGAGGGGGAUCUUAUAAACCGUCCAGGAGCCAUGGAUGCACGGCGCGUGGAUGAUCCGUCCAUAGACGCACGAGCAACGGCCAGCACUCCCCUGAUGAACAGGGGUUGAAGAUGGGGAGCUGGUGGGCUGGGCCUGGUGGCCGGGAUGCCCGGUUGGGCCGAACGGCCCAGGGGGAAGGGGGCUUGGUUUCUUUUGUUUUGUUUUAUUCUUACCUUUGUUUUCUGUUUUCUUUUAUUUCUUUAAUAGUUUAUAAUUUUACAAAAAGUAAAACCCACACCUAAAUUAAAGUUACAAUUCCAACUACUGUCACAAAAAGUUUUACCCCUGAACAAAAUAGUUUAGUAUUUUAUAAAAUUCAAAAGGCAUUUAUUUAAUUGUUUUAGCUACUAUUUUAUUCAUUUUAGAUUAUUUAAAAAUCUUAUAAAAGUGUGGUUUCUCCACCAUAAUUACCUAUGCAUCAUUUGUCUCCAACCGAACAUUUAGUUUUAAUAUUUGAAAACUUUUAUUGUUUGACUUUAUUUUAGAUUUGAAAUUUGAACUGAUGCGAGUUUAUCAAUAGUAACCGAGGUGACGCAUUAUCAUUAGCGGAGGUUCACUGUAGCUUAAUUAUCCGGGCGUCACAAUUCUCCUCCACUACAAGAAAUCUCGUCCCGAGAUUUAAGAGGUAGAGUAGGGGGGAAAGUCUGGUUACGAAAUGCUAACGGAUCUUCUCGGUCUUGGCUGCUCUUCUCGAAGAAGCUAAUCCCUUUCGUUGAUGUCGUCAAUUCUCUAUUUCAGGUCAUCAUGAUGAAGUUGGUAUCCUUUCUUCGGGAACUCCAUCAUACUUACAAAAGAAUAAGGGGUGUAUCCCGUAAGAACGGGUCUGCAUUAGGGCAUGAAAGGGGUUGAGAUCACCGGAAUAAGUAUUGUGUCUGGUACCAGAAUUGAUGAUCUCUCGGGAGGUGGCUCGUGAAUUACUUAUGAGGCCACGCGCGAGGAAUAACUUUGGGAACAGGGGGUGUACAUGAGAGCCAGGUUUUGAUCCUAUGGAACUGUGGGUUAUGGGCCCACCAUGUCGGUUAAAAGUAGGAAGGGCGGUGACAUCUUGCACGAUUAUGUAAGCAAGGCAUGUCAGAGGUAGUCUGUCGGUUAUGUCGGCAAAAACAUCGGUACCAAGGGCGAGGGACGAAGAGAACCAUUUUCCUGCUCGUUGAACGAGGCAGACUAGUAGGCAAAGUUCUCGUCCAUCGGUGGUUACCGGAAUGUCAUCAACAAAAGCAACAGGGUCUUUCUGACAGAAUUGUGCAUCGAGUUGGUUACAUAAGCAGGGAAUUGUUACUGCUUAGAUCAUAUUGAUCGCAAGAAAGGUUAAAGAAAACAAUGGAAAGGAAAAUGUGUUUAAACAUAUAUUUCAGGGGUAUAUCCUUUCCAAGGAUAAGCAGAGCAUGAUAUCCAUGACAGGAUAGUAAGUACAAAACCAUUUAGGUAAGGGGAGAGGAUUUCAUGACAUAGCCCAAACAACGGUAUUUGGAUAAUGGAUAAAGGAAAUUUAGCAUGGCGCUUCAAAUGUUCUUAUCGAUGAUCAGAGUACCACAAACAUGCUUCGAGAUAGCAUUGACAUGGUCUUCAAGCAAAGGUCAGACUCUAGAUACACGAAGGGAUUCAUCAUUAAGCCAAGGAGAGGAUGAGAAGGUGGCUGAUGGACCUAGCGAUAAUUCAACGAGGUAUCCAACAAGAUGGAUUUCCACAGAUAUGUGAACAAGGAGAUAACAUUUGUCGGAUCAAAUGAUAUAAUGAUGUAUGCUCGAGGAAAACAUACACAAAAUAUAAACGUUGGUUGAACGGUGCACCCGAAGUAUGGGCUUAGAUAGCAAGAUCAAUGAUAGAAGGAUGAUUCGAUAUCCAAUACACAAAGAAUGUAUCUAUCAUUCAUUAACUUACAAGCAAUAGGGUUGCUAGAAGUUUUGGAUUUUUCACAUCACAAUCCAUUUGUCGGUAUUCUAGUUGGAACACGGGGGCCAUGAAAAGAAUGGUGAUGGUGAGGAGCAUCAUUUGCAUCAAUAAUUCAUAAGAGGUGGUGAAAUUCUCGCAACAUACUUGACAUAAAAGAUGGUAAUAUUCCAAGGUAAAGAAGAAUAAUUGCUGGAUAGCAAGGAUCUCAAAGUAUAACACAAAACACGAAUAAGUUUGUGUUGGAGGGAAGUCAAUUAAGUGGUCGAUGAUAACACAGAUCAUCAAGGGCAAGGAUGGUAUUUCUCAUAAUGAACUCAAUUGACAUCCUGGAAGAGCUCAGAAUGCCGAUGAUGGUCACGACACAAUUGUUGAGAGAUUUCAUGAAGAUGUAAUCGGUCGGCGAUGACAUCAAGCCACAGGAAUGAUGAAGCGAAAGGUUAUUGAACCCAAGGGUAUGACACAAACUCAAAACCAAGCUUGUUGUUUAAGGCAAAGUGGUAUGAUGAGGAAGACUGACGUAAGCUUAGCUCAUCGUCGAAAGUUGUGCUCCGGGAAUAAGGACCAGGUAGCACAGUUAAAAUCAUCACAGUAAUGAUAUAGCCAAAUAGGGUAGAAAGGAUGUGAUCGGGUACAAAUUCGUAAGUAAAGAAUAUUACCAAAAGUUGUUGAACCGUAGUGCGGACUCAGUUCAGUUAUCGAUUUUUUGAGUGCCCGUGAAAAAUUUGGAAUCAGUGAGAAUGUAGUACUUGACGAGGAACUCAUAAGAGGUUAUGUAGUACUUGAUAUUAUCGAGGUACCAUGGUGUAAUACUCGACGGAAGAUCAAAGUAAAGGUUGGACUGGUGUAUUGAUCCACAGAAGACAAGUGGUUAAACUUGCCCGUGAAAUUGGGUCAAAGAAGAACAUAUGGUCGAAACCACGAUUGCAAAAGGCCGGAUCCCAGAUAUAAGAACUUAUACCAAGGGAAAAAUAAUUUAAGAGAAGCUUUAAUGAUAAGAUCUACAUCGUGUCCAUGGGCAUGAACACAAAGUUCAAGGUCGACUCCCACUUCUUCAAUGCAUAACCUUUCAUUCACCUCUCGUAUUUUGAAAAUGACAUUAGUUGUUGAAAGUUUUACCUGGUGCAAUACCAGAUAAGUAUGACCCGUGAAAUCUUCCGGGUUUGCACAGAUUAGGGGAAGGCAUUACUUCAAACCAUCGGGUAUGUUAGGAACAUAUAUCACAAACUUCAGGGGUAAAUAACACAAGCUCGAAAGUAGAGCAUGGUUGACAAGGCAGAGGAUACAAUAUACCAAAGGCAUUAUAUACCGGUGGAAAGGCUCACAAGGUUAUUGAAUAUUAAGGGCGAUGUCAGAUGAAAUCCAACAAUGGAUCUGACGAUCCACAACGGAGCUGAUGUGAGUAUCGAUACUCUACCAGAAGAAGAAAGAAUGCAAGGGGAUCAGCUGAUAGAAACAACUAACUAACUCAAAGCUCAAUGCAAGGAAAUUUUAUAAUUUCCAAAUCAAGGGAUCAGAAGCAAUCGUUCUGAUCAAAAAUGAAUAAGCUCAAUAGACUUAGAAGCACAAACGAUCAAGGCAUCGAUUGGUCAAGAACCAGCUCAUAUCCAAAUGACGUCUGAGCCGGAAGGAUGAAUCCUAGGAUUCGACUGAGGAAUGCGGGCAUCCUCAACAUAUUGAAUCAACGAACUUAAAAUGAUAAAGAGAAGGGAGGACAAUAAGAUUACGAAACUUAUGGGAUUAACCAUAAUUCAAGCAAGCGAGAAUUUCAAAAGCAAUAGGCUGCUCGGGAUUUUCGAAAGAUCGAAUGAUAUUUUGAAGUCUUCGGCGAAACACAUGAACAACUGGGAAUGAGCGGAUACUCGAUAAGUGCAAGAAUUAUCCAUAGGGGUAUUCAAGUGAUAGAGAACAGCAAGGGACUAAGCUCAAAGGAUUCUCGAAACAAUAGAGAGAAUUUCGGUGUAUCAUGUUAUAACAAGAUCAACUGGGAAGCAUUGUAUGAAUGGUGCGUACACGGGGUUAUCAAUAGGGGUUUAUCGACGGAGGGGAAUUGCAAAAGCGACACCAUAAAGUCUCAAGAGAACAUCGGAGAGUAUCUUUGGAUUCUUUUGAUGCAGCAGACGAUCAUCUGUCUCCGGGAGAAAGUAUUAUCAAGAACCUAGAGUCAGAGUUAGUAAAAUCGUUUAACCCGAAUAGAAGAGAGAUCAGAGUCCCAGAGUAUAGAUCGAGGAAUAAAAGAUCCUACUACCACCCAAUGGCGUCGUGUGCCCGUAAGACACACAGCCAUGUUAGUAAAAAGUUUUUGUAAUGUCUAGACUCAACUUCGGCCAAGGAGUGUGGAAGGGGGAUUCCUACAGGCAGUCGGCUCUGAUACCAACUUGUGACGCCCCCGAUUUGAUCGUACACUAAUCAUGCACGCAAAUGUGUACGAUCAAGAUCAAGGACUCACGGGAAGAUAUCACAACACAACUCUACAAAUAAAAUAAGUCAUACAAGCAUCAUAUUACAAGCCAGGGGCCUCGAAGGCUCGAAUACAAGAGCUCGAUCAUAGACGAGUCAGCGGAAGCAACAAUAUCUGAGUACAGACAUAAGAUAAACAAGUUUGCCUUAAGAAGGCUAGCACAAACUGGGAUACCGAUCGAAGGAGGCGCAGGCCUCCUGCCUGGGAUCCUCCUAACUACUCCUGGUCGUCGUCAGCGGGCAGCACGUAGUAGUAGGCACCUCCGGUGUAGUAGGAGUCGUCGUCGAAGGUGGCGUCUGGCUCCUGGGCUCCAACAUCUGGUUGCGAAAACCAGGUAGAAGGGAUAGGGGGAAAAGAGGGAGAAAGCAACCGUGAGUACUCAUCCAACGUACUCGCAAGCAAGGAGCUACACUACAUAUGUAUGCAUUGGUAUCAAUUGGAAUAAGGCUAUCAUAUGUGGACUGAACUGCAAAAUGCCGGAAUAAGAGGGGGUUAGCUAGUCCUUUCAAAGACUACGCUUCUGGCAGCCUCCGUCUUGCACCAUGUAGAAGAGAGUAGACUGAAGUCCUCCAAGUAGCAUCGCAUAGCAUAGUCCUAACCGAUGAUCCUCCCCUCGUCGCCCUAUGAGAGAGCGAUCACCGGUUGUAUCUGGCACUUGGAAGGGUGUGUUUUAUUAAGUAUCCGGUUCUAGUUGUCAUAAGGUCAAGGUACAACUCCAAGUCGUCCUGUUACCGAAGAUCACGGCUAUUCGAAUAGAUUAACUUCCCUGCAGGGGUGCACCACAUAACCCAACACGGUCGAUCCCAUUUGGCCGGACACACUUUUCUGGGUCAUGCCCGGCCUCGGAAGAUCAACACGUCGCAGCCCCACCUAGACCAACAGAGAGGUCAGCACGCCGGUCUAAACCUAAGCGCCCAGGGGUCUGGGCCCAUCGCCCUUAGCACACCUGCACGUUGCGAACGCGGCCGGAAGCAGAACUAGCCCCCUUAAUACAAGAGCAGGCUUACGGUCCAAUCCGGCACGCGCCACUCAGUCGCUGACGUCACGAAGGCUUCGGCUGAUACCACGAUGUCGAGUGCCCAUAACUGUCCCCGCGUAGAUGGUUAGUGCGUAUAGGCCAGUAGCCAGACUCAGAUCAAAUACCAAGAUCUCGUUAAACGUGUUAUUCUGAAAUAACCACGGACGCCGACCAGGGCCAGGCCCACCUCUCUCCUAGGUGGUCUCAACCUGCCCUGUCGCUCCGCCUCAAAGUAACAGUCGGGGGCCGUCGGGAACCCAGGCCCACCUCUAUCAGGAUGGAGCCACCUGCCCCUUCAGCCCCCAUCUCCGAACAGUAUCAUAAGUAAUGUAAAUGUGUAAAGUAUUUAGUAUAUGCCCGUGAUCACCUCCCGAAGUGAUCACAGCCCAGUAGUAUUGCAUGGCAGACGGACAAGAGUGUAGGGCCACUGAUGGAACACUAGCAUCCUAUACUAAGCAGUAGGAUAGCAGGUAAUGGUAACAACAGUAGUAGCAAGGACAGGCUAUGCAUCAGGAUAGGAAUAACGAAAAGCAGUAACAUGCUACACUACUCUAAUGCAAGCAGUAUAGAGAAGAGUAGGCGAUAUCUGGUGAUCAAAUGGGGGGCUUGCCUGGUUGCUCUGGCAAGAAGGAGGGGUCAUCUUCGAUGUAGUCGAACACACGAACAUCGGCAGCGGUCUCGAAGUCUACCGGAAAGGAGUAACGGAGGGGGAACACAAUAAAUAAUAGAGCAAUCAAAUGUAACACAAAGCAAGACGCGGCAAUAUGGUGUGCUAGGGGUGACAUAACGUAGGGAUAGGCGAUACCGGCGAAGAGGGGAAAUAUCCAGGAAAGUAUUCCCGGUGUUUCACGAUUCCGGACAGAUGAACCGGAGGUGAAAUGUUGCAGGUUCCCUAUGCUAGGGAUGCGUGGCGGACGAACGGGACGCGUAUUUGGAUUCAUCUCGUCGUUUUGAGCAACUUUCAUGUGCAAAGUUUUUCCAUCGAAGUUACGGUUAAUUUUUUAUAAUUUUCCAAAGUUUUAUCAAUAUUCUAGAAUUUUGUGUUUAAUUUAAAUCCGAAUUGACCAAGCCAAUGUGACUAGUCAAAAAGAGAGGGUGUGGCCCACAUGUCAUGCACAUAGGUGUAGAUUACUUAGGCUAAAUUAAUUUAAACUAGGGGGCCACAUGGCAUUGUUUAUAUAGACUAAUUAGCACUAAAUUACAUCCUACCUAAACAAUCCCUAAUUAAUCCUAGCCUAAUUAAACCAUGGGCCGGCCGGUGGCAUAGUCAGCCGUGGGUACACACACGCAACACACAUAGCUAGGGGUUACUUUUGUUCCAACAAAGCAUUUUGUGAUUUUUGUACGAUUUAAUCCGUUCAUCGAAAGGAUUUAGUCCAAUGGGAUAAAAUGAAGUUUGUCAAGUAUACUUUCUACUCAUAAUCUUUCUUGGCCUAUUAGUAAUUGGUUACCCGCUGAUUAGAGGCUGUCAAGGGGUUAGUCAGUCUAAUAUCCGCAAAGCUAGUCAUAAUUACAGUAGCAUUCAGCAGCAGCAGUACGUUCAGAGCAGCAGUAGUUAUCGGCAUGGCGCGGAGACGGCCAGGCAACGCCGCGCACGGCCGGAUGCGGCCCGGGCCGCGUUGCCGGAGCUAGCUGCAGGCGGAGGCGGCGGCAAGGGUUCCAGCGGGCACGCGCAGGACUAGCAGGGGUGGCGGCAGCAUCGGCGAGCGCGCGUGCAGGAAGCUCGAGCGGCGUGGGCGAGCAUGGCCAGGCGGAUGGGAGAGGCUGGCAGGUGCGGGUGAUAGGGCAGCGCGGGCAGGGGAGCCUGGGGGCGUGGCUGGUGCGAGCGAACAGCGCCAGGUGCGGUGUCGCGCGCGUGGACGGCGAUGGCGGCCACGACCGACGCGGUCAGGCGAGGCGGACGCACGGCAGCGGGUGAGCGGCGGUAGGCGGAGGCGAGGCCACGGGUGGGCACGCGCGGGAGCGCAGGCUGCAGUAGCGAACGAGCCUGCUCGACAGUAGCAGCAGUAGCGCAGCAGUGGAGGUGGUUGAAGCAAGAGGCCAUGAGGACUAACGGCGGCCAAAGUUCUGUGGGAAACGACGGCUAUAGGCAUGGGUCGAGCAGGGAAGAGUGGGAAUCGAGUGAGGACCUCACCGCGGUGUCGUAGGCGAGAUCAAGAAGGCCGGGGGUGGAGCGACGGCGACGAAUUCGUCGAUGGCGUCGCGGUGGUUGGAGGUUGAAGACGACGUCGAUCCCUGCGAUCCAGGGGCUCCCGGCUCCAACUGGUGGACGUAGUCGAAGGACUGGACGUCGGCGAAGCUCGCGGACCAGGUGGCUGGGCGCGGGGAGCUCGGUGGGCGCGUGGAUGUCGGAGGCCAUGGCGAUGCAGGUUCGGCCAAGGGUUGCGGGGACGAAAGCGGCACAGGGGAGGGGAAAAGGAGAGCUAG
rnacentral:lncRNA from 1 species